rnacentral:rRNA from 1 species
AUGGCUAAGCUUGCCGCAUUGGCUAUGGUAGCGUUGCUUGGCUGCGUGGCGCGGACGUGCCACGCUUCAGGGUAUGGUGGGUAUCCCAGCCCGGGCACGCCUAGCAGCUACCCUCCACCUCCACCCAGCCCAACGCCAACCCCGCCUAGCCCGAGCCCUCCUCCUGCUGCGCCGGCGCUCGCGAUCGGACACUACUACAAGACAUGCUACAAAGCUGAACAGAUCGUGAGGGAUUCAGUGAGAAAGGCGGUGUAUGCCAACCGCGGCAUCGGCGCCGGGCUCAUCCGCCUUUUCUUCCACGACUGCUUCGUCAGGGGGUGCGACGCCUCGGUCCUCCUCGACCCGACGCCGGCCAACGCUCAGCCAGAGAAGCUCGGCAUCCCCAACUUCCCGAGCCUGCGCGGCUUCGAGGUGAUCGACGCGGCAAAGGCGGCGCUCGAGGAGGCCUGCCCUGGAGUCGUCUCGUGCGCGGACAUCGUCGCUUUCGCUGGCCGCGAUGCCACUUUCUUCCUCAGCAACGGGAGGGCGUAUUUCGACAUGCCGGCCGGCCGCUACGACGGGAACGUGUCCCUCGCCAGCGAGACCCUCCCCAACCUGCCUCCGCCCUUCGCCACCCUCCAGACGCUCAAGGACAUGUUCGCCUCCAAAGGGCUCACCGCCGACGAGAUGGUCACCCUCUCCGGCGCACAUAGCGUCGGGGUCUCCCACUGCUCGUCCUUCUCGGACCGCCUCCCUCCCAACCCCUCUGACCCCUCGGCCAUGGAUGCCACGCUCGCCGCGUCUGUGCAGGUAAAAUGCAACCGCACUGGUGACCCCGUGGUGGUGCAGGACUUCAGGACCCCGGGGGACCUAGACAACCAGUAUUACAAGAACGUGCUCGAUAAAAAAGUAUUGUUCAAGUCGGACGCCGCACUCCGUUCGUCGGAGACUGGGGCACAAGUGCUCCUCAACGCCUGGAUCCCUGGGCAGUGGGAGCAAAAGUUCAAGGCGGCCAUGGUGAGGAUGGGCAGUAUCGAAGUGAAGACCAGGGCCAACGGGGAGAUCAGAAAACAGUGCCGGUUUGUGAACUAG